GAUGAACGCUAGCUACAGGCUUAACACAUGCAAGUCGAGGGGCAGCACAGAGAUAGCUUGCUAUCUUGGGUGGCGACCGGCGCACGGGUGAGUAACGCGUAUCCAACCUGCCCAUUACUCGGGGAUAGCCCUGCGAAAGUAAGAUUAAUACCCGAUGUUGUUUGAUUGCCGCAUGACGAUCAAACCAAAGAUUUAUUGGUAAUGGAUGGGGAUGCGUGACAUUAGGUAGUAGGUGAGGUAACGGCUCACCUUGCCGACGAUGGCUAGGGGUUUUGAGAGGAAGGUCCCCCACACUGGGACUGAGACACGGUCCAGACUCCUACGGGAGGCAGCAGUGAGGAAUAUUGGUCAAUGGACGAGAGUCUGAACCAGCCAAGUAGCGUGCAGGACGACGGCCCUCUGGGUUGUAAACUGCUUUUAGUUGGGAAUAAAAAGAGGGACGUGUCCCUAAUUGUAUGUACCAUCAGAAAAAGGACCGGCUAAUUCCGUGCCAGCCGCCGCCGUAACAC
rnacentral:rRNA from 1 species